GGCCUUGACAUACUAAGAACUUUCCAGAGAUGGAUUGGUGCCUUCGGGAACUUAGAUACAGGUGCUGCAUGGCUGUCGUCAGCUCGUGUCGUGAGAUGUUGGGUUAAGUCCGCAACGAGCGCAACCCUUUUCCUUAUUUGCCAGCGGGUAAUGCCGGGAACUUUAAGGAUACUGCCAGUGACAAACUGGAGGAAGGCGGGGACGACGUCAAGUCAUCAUGGCCCCUACGGCCAGGGCUACACACGUGCUACAAUGGUCGGUACAAAGGGUUGCUACCUCGCGAGAGGAUGCUAAUCUCAAAAAGCCGAUCGUAGUCCGGAUCGCAGUCUGCAACUCGACUGCGUGAAGUCGGAAUCGCUAGUAAUCGCGGAUCAGAAUGCCGCGGUGAAUACGUUCCCGGGCCUUGUACACACCGCCCGUCACACCAUGGGAGUUUGUUGCACCAGAAGUAGGUAGUCUAACCGCAAGGAGGACGCUUACCACGGUGUGGCCGAUGACUGGGGUGAAGUCGUAACAAGGUAGGCGUAGAUGA
rnacentral:rRNA from 1 species